UGGGGAAUAUUGCGCAAUGGGGGGAACCCUGACGCAGCCAUGCCGCGUGAAUGAAGAAGGCCUUCGGGUUGUAAAGUUCUUUCGGUAUUGAGGAAGGUUGAUGUGUUAAUAGCACAUCAAAUUGACGUUAAAUACAGAAGAAGCACCGGCUAACUCCGUGCCAGCAGCCGCGGUAAUACGGAGGGUGCGAGCGUUAAUCGGAAUAACUGGGCGUAAAGGGCACGCAGGCGGUUAUUUAAGUGAGGUGUGAAAGCCCCGGGCUUAACCUGGGAAUUGCAUUUCAGACUGGGUAACUAGAGUACUUUAGGGAGGGGUAGAAUUCCACGUGUAGCGGUGAAAUGCGUAGAGAUGUGGAGGAAUACCGAAGGCGAAGGCAGCCCCUUGGGAAUGUACUGACGCUCAUGUGCGAAAGCGUGGGGAGCAAACAGGAUUAGAUACCCUGGUAGUCCACGCUGUAAACGCUGUCGAUUUGGGGGUUGGGGUUUAACUCUGGCGCCCGUAGCCAACGUGAUAAAUCGACCGCCUGGGGAGUACGGCCGCAAGGUUA
rnacentral:rRNA from 1 species